CCACCCCGUAACGACACCUUCCACCCCGUAACGACACCUUCCACCCCGUAACGACACCUUCCACCCCGUAACGACACCUUCCACCCCGUAACGACACCUUCCACCCCGUAACGACACCUUCCACCCCGUAACGACACCUUCCACCCCGUAACGACACCUUCAACCCCGUAACGACACCUUCAACACCGUAACGACAUCCAUUAUGCUGCUACUGCAGACUGGCCACUCGUGUGUGUGUGUGUGUGUGUGUGUGUGUCAGAGUCUAAAACACAGCUAAAUUACCACCGCUUUCCUCUCAAAUAGAAGCUAUAUUUAGCAUCACGCUGUGCUGCUUAAUCGCUACAGGGGAGAGAGGGAGGGAGAGAGGGAGGGAGAGAGGGAGGGAGAGCAGACUGAGCUACUAGCAGAGAGAGGGAGGGAGAGGGAGGGAGAGCAGGGAGAGAGGGAGGGAGAGCAGACUGAGCUACUAGCAGAGAGAGGGAGGGAGAGAGGGAGGGAGAGCAGACUGAGCUACUAGCAGAGAGAGGGAGGGAGAGCAGACUGUGAGCUACUAGCAGAGAGGGUGGAAGAACGAGGGAGGCAGGGAGGAGAUGGAGGGGGAGAGAAAGGGGGGGUUAACAGAUGGCACUUCUGUGGAUGUCCUCUUAAUAUCACUAAUGGUGACGACACUGAAGCCUUUCACAUAUUCUGCUCACAUUAGCUAAGAUCAAAGUAGAAGAGGCCACACACACACACACACACACACACGCUUCACUGAGAAGUCCCACUCUUUAGUACAAAGUAGACUCUUUGAUUGACUCAAUCUAAACUAAUCACCUACCACAAGCUAAGAGACAAGAUUCUACCAAGAAACUGUAGACACAUUGAGCAGCGAACGACAGGCCUCCUCCUCCGUCGUCAGACCAGGCCUCCUCCUCCGUCGUCAGACCAGGCCUCCUCCUCCGUCGUCAGACCAGGCCUCCUCCUCCGUCGUCAGACCAGGCCUCCUCCUCCGUCGUCAGACCAGGCCGUCGUCAGACCAGGCCGUCGUCAGACCAGGCCGUCGUCAGACCAGGCCGUCGUCAGACCAGGCCGUCGUCAGACCAGGCCUCCUCCUCCGUCGUCAGACCAGGCCGCCUCCUCCGUCGUCAGACCAGGCCGCCUCCUCCGUCGUCAGACCAGGCCGCCUCCUCCGUCGUCAGACCAGGCCGCCUCCUCCGUCGUCAGACCAGGCCGCCUCCUCCGUCGUCAGACCAGGCCGCCUCCUCCGUCGUCAGACCAGGCCGCCUCCUCCGUCGUCAGACCAGGCCUCCUCCUCCGUCGUCAGACCAGGCCUCCUCCUCCGUCGUCAGACCAGGCCUCCUCCUCCGUCGUCAGACCAGGCCUCCUCCUCCGUCAGACCAGGCCUCCUCCUCCGUCAGACCAGGCCUCCUCCGUCGUCAGACCAGGCCUCCUCCGUCGUCAGACCAGGCCUCCUCCGUCGUCAGACCAGGCCUCCUCCGUCGUCAGACCAGGCCUCCUCCGUCGUCAGACCAGGCCUCCUCCGUCGUCAGACCAGGCCUCCUCCUCCGCCGUCGUCAGACCAGGCCUCCUCCUCCGCCGUCAGACCAGGCCACCUCCUCCGCCGUCAGACCAGGCCACCUCCUCCGCCGUCAGACCAGGCCACCUCCUCCGCCGUCAGACCAGGCCACCUCCUCCGCCGUCAGACCAGGCCACCUCCUCCGCCGUCAGACCAGGCCACCUCCUCCGCCGUCAGACCAGGCCACCUCCUCCGCCGUCAGACCAGGCCACCUCCUCCGCCGCCAGACCAGGCCACCUCCUCCGCCGCCAGACCAGGCCACCUCCUCCGCCGCCAGACCAGGCCACCUCCUCCGCCGCCAGACCAGGCCUCCUCCUCCGCCGCCAGACCAGGGCACCUCCUCCGCCGCCAGACCAGGCCACCUCCUCCGCCGCCAGACCAGGCCUCCUCCUCCGCCGCCAGACCAGGCCUCCUCCUCCGCCGCCAGACCAGGCCACCUCCUCCGCCGCCAGACCAGGCCACCUCCUCCGCCGCCAGACCAGGCCACCUCCUCCGCCGCCAGACCAGGCCUCCUCCUCCGUCGUCAGACCAGGCCUCCUCCUCCGUCGCCAGACCAGGCCACCACCUCCGUCGCCAGACCAGGCCACCACCUCCGCCGCCAGACCAGGCCUCCUCCUCCGCCGCCAGACCAGGCCUCCUCCUCCGCCGCCAGACCAGGCCUCCUCCUCCGCCGCCAGACCAGGCCUCCUCCUCCGCCGCCAGACCAGGCCUCCUCCUCCGCCGCCAGACCAGGCCACCUCCUCCGCCGCCAGACCAGGCCACCACCUCCGCCGUCAGACCAGGCCACCACCUCCGCCGUCAGACCAGGCCACCACCUCCGCCGUCAGACCAGGCCUCCUCCUCCGCCGUCAGACCAGGCCUCCUCCUCCGCCGGCUGACCAGGCCUCCUCCUCCGCCGCCAGACCAGGCCUCCUCCUCCGCCGUCUGACCAGGCCUCCUCCUCCGCCGCCAGACCAGGCCUCCUCCUCCGCCGCCAGACCAGGCCUCCUCCUCCGCCGCCAGACCAGGCCUCCUCCUCCGCCGCCAGACCAGGCCUCCUCCUCCGCCGUCAGACCAGGCCUCCUCCUCCGCCGUCAGACCAGGCCUCCUCCUCCGCCGUCAGACCAGGCCUCCUCCUCCGCCGUCAGACCAGGCCUCCUCCUCCGCCGUCAGACCAGGCCUCCUCCUCCGCCGUCAGACCAGGCCUCCUCCUCCGCCGUCAGACCAGGCCUCCUCCUCCGCCGUCAGACCAGGCCUCCUCCUCCGCCGUCAGACCAGGCCUCCUCCUCCGCCGUCAGACCAGGCCUCCUCCUCCGCCGUCAGACCAGGCCUCCUCCUCCGUCGUCAGACCAGGCCUCCUCCUCCGUCGUCAGACCAGGCCUCCUCCUCCGUCGUCAGACCAGGCCUCCUCCUCCGUCGUCAGACCAGGCCUCCUCCUCCGUCGUCAGACCAGGCCUCCUCCUCCGUCGUCAGACCUGGUGUUGA
ensembl:lncRNA